UACGUAGGGUGCAAGCGUUAAUCGGAAUUACUGGGCGUAAAGCGUGCGCAGGCGGUGAUGUAAGACCGAUGUGAAAUCCCCGGGCUUAACCUGGGAACUGCACUUGUGACUGCAUGGCUGGAGUACGGCAGAGGGGGAUGGAAUUCCGCGUGUAGCAGUGAAAUGCGUAGAUAUGCGGAGGAACACCGAUGGCGAAGGCAAUCCCCUGGGCCUGUACUGACGCUCAUGCACGAAAGCGUGGGGAGCAAACAGG
rnacentral:rRNA from 1 species